rnacentral:rRNA from 1 species
CCUACGGGUGGCAGCAGUGAGGAAUAUUGGUCAAUGGGCGCGAGCCUGAACCAGCCAAGUAGCGUGAAGGAUGACGGCCCUACGGGGUGUAAACUUCGUUUAUAAAGGAAUAAAGUGAGGCACGUGUGCCUUUUUGUAUGUAAUUUAUGAAUAAGGAUCGGCUAACUCCGUGCCAGCAGCCGCGGUAAUACGGAGGGUCCGAGCGUUAUCCGGAUUUAUUGGGUUUAAAGGGAGCGUAGAUGGGUUGUUAAGGCCGUUGUGAAAGUUUGCGGCUCAACCGUAAAAUUGCAAUUGAUACGGGCAGCCUUGAGUACAGUUGAUGUCGGCGGACUUCGUGGUGUAGCGGU